GUGCUCGCUUCAGCAUCACAUAUACUAAAAUUGGAACAAUAUAGAGAUUAGCACGGCCCCUAUGCAAAGAUGACAUACAAAUUCAUGAAGCAUUUCACAUUUUU